UACGUAGGGGGCUAGCGUUGUCCGGAAUCAUUGGGCGUAAAGCGCGUGUAGGCGGUCCGGUAAGUCCGCUGUGAAAGUCGGGGGCUCAACCCUCGAAUGCCGGUGGAUACUGUCGGGCUAGAGUCCGGUAGGGGAGCGUGGAAUUCCCGGUGUAGAGGUGAAAUUCGUAGAUAUCGGGAGGAACACCGGUGGCGAAGGCGGCGAUCUGGGUCGAUACUGACGCUGAGGUGCGAAAGCGUGGGGAGCAAACAGG
rnacentral:rRNA from 1 species